AGCAGCCCACACGGGCCGCGUCCGGGGCCUGCACAGGGCGUUCGAUAAUUGCUUGAUUGAAUGAAUCGAUGCUCAACCGUGUGGCAAACAGGAUCAACGAGCCGGGGUGGCUCCAAGGAAGAAACACUGAUGUCAAGCCAGGCCACCUAGUGACACCACGCCUGCAACAGGACAGCAGGGCACUGCAACGUCAGCCUGAUUUGUCCCCUUUGGGGCUCCAGCAUGUGUGGCCGUGGGCCCUCCUGAGUGCUCUGCAUUGAGGACAGACCCCUCACAGGCCAGGGUCCCACCUGGGAAGCGGAGAUGAUUCCUCAGCUCAAGUCUGAUCUCAGGCUAGAAUUGUACUCGACAGCAGAAUAUAUACAGAUAUUUAAACUGAUCACCACGGAGCUACCCACCACCCGCCAAGGCCGAUUCUGCAGGUCACGAGGCUCCUGGCUGCCACUCGGUGUCUACCAGGCUCCAGAGAUCGGCCUCCAGCUCCCUGAGCUCCUGCAGCUCUCCGUUUAGCUGAGUGCGGCAGGUCGUUAAGGACCCGGCUUAGCAGGAGACCAUCGCGCUGCGCGUCGGGCCCAGGCACCAGGAUCCCAGGGCUUGCUAGGCCAGUGCCCGCCCCGGGGCCACACCCCAGCCCCAUGCAAGGGAUUUCUAGGGAGGACGAUGGACACG